UCCCACAGGAAAGCGCUCUGCCAGUUCUUCUCUCCUUGCCCUGUGUCUUAGUCCCACACCCCUGAGGCCAAGCAGACCCUCAGAGAUGGGGAAGUGAUGGUACUGUCCCUUUAAACACGUUUUACUGGAAGGAGACUACACUGGGGAGGAGGUAAGAGGGGGAAGGGAGUUUCUGGUUUUGCAUGGAGAAGCAGAACAUGAUGAAGCAUUUUUCCCCCCAUUUAAAGAUCCAGUCAUGCUCCAGUUUGCAGGGGGCAGAGGAGCUCGUUUGCAGUUGGUGCUGGGAGGAUGGAGGACAAGGAUUCUCAAGUCCUUCCCAAAUUCCAGUUCAGCAUUUCCCAAGACACCUUCUUGAGGAUGGAGAUAAGUAUUCCUCCAAAAAGGAGAAGAGGGGAGUUUCAUGGCUAAAGGAGUUAAACAGGGCUCUUGAAGCAACUGUUGUAGUCUGGACUUGGCAGCAAGCACUGGAAAUCCCUCAGAGAUGAAUAAAUUGAGGCCAGACUGAGGAAAUGAAUUGUGUGAGUUGACCUGGUGACAGAGUAGAGUGCUUGGAACAAUGGCUGGCACACAGUAGGUGCUUAACAAGUAGUUGUCUGAUGGCCCAGCAGCCCUGCCCGAGGGACUUGUGAACACCUGGACAUUUCAGCACCGGGCAUCUGGACAGCUCCAGACCUGCUGAACCCUUGGAGAGAGUCAGGGUGGGAUGACUGUGGAAGGUGAGGUUGAAAGUGUGGCCCCUGCCCUCAAGCUUGGAGUCUGCCAGCCUGACCUGUGUGGUCACUGGUUGGGGUUCAAGCCCUGCCCACUCCAUUUCCUGCAAACCUCCCCCACCAAGUAUUUCCUUUUUCUUUUUGAGAUGAGCAAUUAUUUUGAUGUAUCUGUGAAGCACCCAGCAUUUCUUUCUCUUUGUCUCUUUAGCCCCUUAGUAUUUUUCUUUUCCCACAUUCUCAGACUCUUCUUCCCUUCCUCUCCUUUCUCCAUUUCGUGCCCCUUCCUCUCUCCCUCUGUCAUAUCCCUUCUUUGCUUUUGCCCCCAAUUUCUCUGUUCUCUUUAUCCCUUCCCUCCUCCCUUCCUCCUCAUCUCCCUCCUUAGAGAUGUCCUAUUUUUGCAGGAUUUGAUUUAUAGUAAAGAGAGGCAGCCUCCCUCUCUCCCUACUCCCUUUAUGAAG